CUUGGAGCUUAACGGCGGAGGGACAUUACCAGAGUUUUUACAACUCCCAACCCUUCUGUGAACCUACCUAUCGCCUUGCUUCGGCGGACUCGCCCCAGCGUCCGGACGGCCCCGCGCCGGCCCGCGACCUGGACCCAGGCGGCCGCCGGAGGCCCUACAACCCUGUAUCCAUCAGUCUCUCUGAAUCCGCCGCAAGGCAAACAAAUGAAUCAAAACUUUCAACAACGGAUCUCUUGGUUCUGGCAUCGAUGAAGAACGCAGCGAAACGCGAUAAGUAAUGUGAAUUGCAGAAUUUAGUGAAUCAUCGAAUCUUUGAACGCACAUUGCGCCCGCCAGCAUUCUGGCGGGCAUGCCUGUUCGAGCGUCAUUUCAACCCUCGACAUCCCCUGGGGACGUCGGCCUUGGGGACCGGCAGCACACCGCCGGCCCUGAAAUCAAGUGGGGGCCCGUCCGCGGCGACCUCUGCGCAGUACUCCUGCUCGCACCGGGAACCUGACGCGGCCACGCCGAAAACACCCAACU
rnacentral:rRNA from 1 species